CUCCAGAUGUUGCUGAAAUACAACUCCCAUCAGCUCCAGCAAGCAUGGGAGUUGCAGUUUAGCAACAUCUGGAG